AGGAAAAAGGGAUAAGAAAACUCCAAUCCAUUCCAUCCAAAAUGUUUCGUUCCUAAAACCACAACCCUAACAAAAUUCCUAAAAUAUUUCAAUUAAUAUAAUCACAAAAUCCUCAAUUCAUUCCAAAUGUUUCGUUCGUCUGUUGUUCUUCAAUCCAUUCGAUGAUGACGCGCGUUUCUUUAUUGAGCUUCGAUCUCAAUCUCUGCUCGCUAAUGAGCUUCGAUUUUUUCUUCUCGUGAAUGUGCUUCGAUCUUCUCUGCUCGUCAAUGUGCUUCGAUCCUCUGCUCCUCUCCUCGUUGAGCUUCGAUUCUCUACUUGUUGAGAUUUGAUCAUCUGCUUGUUGAGCUUCGAUCCUCUAUUUCUCUUUUCGUCGAGCUUCGAUCCUCUCUGCUCGCGUUCAUCACCGCCAGUCAUUGUUCGAUUAUCACUGCUCGUGUUUUUGGUGAGAUUCUUAUUUUUGGCAUUCUUCUGCAGGUAUUGAUGAUUCUACCGUUCUUUUUUCUGCUCUAUUUUAGCACCUGUUUACAUAUCCUUCCCAUUGACAAGUUUAGGUCACGCAAAUAGCAUUCCUGUUAUUACUUUGAAUUUGAAUUGUUUGAGAAUUAUUUCACUUUAUAUUUGUUCCUUAUGCCUUAUGUUUGUUAUAUUUAUCACCAAGCUUGUUAUUCAGCUUUGUGCUCUUUCUGUUUGUUAUAUUGUCUCAGUCAUUGGUUACUCUUUCUUCUAUCUUUUGUUUUUCUCCAAGUACAAAUAAGUAGUUUCUUAUAUUAAACAGGGGAAGUAUUGUAUGGUGGUUGUGAUGACGUUGGUGUUGGAGCAGCAGCACUAUAGGGAGGGUGAGAAAGUGGUGAUGGUGUUUUUGGAGGGUUUGGGUGAUGGUUGUUGUGGGUAGCAGGCGAAGGAGCUUGAGAAAUUGGUGAUGGAACAUAUGGAGGAUUAAGUGAUGGUUGUUAUGAGCAGGGGAAGGAGCCUGUGGUGGAGUUGGAGUAUGAUAAGGUGGUUGAGAAAUUGGUGUUGGUAGAUAUGGAGAAGGUGAUGAUCUUGGUGUUCCUGGUGGACUAUUGGAGUAUAUGGAGGGUUAUAGCCACGGGAGGGAGCUUGUGAAGGAGGGGGAUGAUGAUUAACUUAAAUAACAUUUACUACUUUUCUGCCAGUAUUGAAUUGCCUAUGUGCUUCACAAAAUAAUUUCUUUAGAAUUUCUAUUUAACUGUGUAACAUGUCUUAUUCAAAUUUGCAGGCUGCUUUUCUGUCAGCUUUGGUUGGAUCAGAGGUUGCAUAUUCCGCUGCACAAGCUACAGUGGCAACUCUCUCGGAGGCUUACGAAACAACUAAAAAUCAUCGAUCAUUCCCAAGAAACACAUCACUACAAGGAAAUGAUGGUAAAAUGUGGGUAAUUUAAGAUCCAUUUUGGUCAUUGGAGCAAGUAAAGCUGAAGCUAGGCUAAAUGGUUGAUAUGAUAUUCUCAAGACAAUGAAGUACGGUUCUUAGUGGAAGCUCUCCGAUCCUGAGAUUAUCAACUUGAUCCGAGGGAAGAAGCUUAGUGAGAAGAUGAUCCAGAGGUUCAAGGCAAUCCUGAAUGCUGCUGAGGGGCCAGUGAAUGAUGCUGAACGCAGACAAAUCAGAGAGGGGCCAGUGAAGAUCUGGCUGGAUGAUCUCAAAGAUGCUAUCUAUGAGGCUGACGACUUCUUGGAUGAAAUUGCCACCAAAGCUGCAACUAAGAAGGAUCAAGGUAACUUCCUAACCCGCUUUAAGAAAGAGAGAAAGAAGGUUACUAGGAUGGAAGAUGUCAUUGGUAGGCUAGAGUCCAUAGUGAAUCAAAAAGAUACUCUUGGCCUGAAAGAGAUACCAAUGGAGAACAUGUCAUGGAGAACUCUUACGGUAACAUAUUAUCUAUUGUAAUUCUUAAUCCCUUUUCUUUUUCUUUUUUCGUGACAGAUUAAUGUCACGUUGUAACCGAUGAAGUAAAGGCAAACAGACCAAAUCUUACUUAUGUCGAUUAACAUGAAUUCUUUAUAAGGCUCUAAGGUUGGUGAUAUCCAGCUUUGGAAAAAAAGAAAAAUGGUUUUCUGGCUGAACUAAACUUAAGAGUAUAAUGAAAUUUUUGGGGUUAGCCCUGCCAUGAAACAAAUACAGAUGUCGAGUUUUUAAUACUUCAAUUAUUGUGCACGAAUGACUGUCUAGGUUGUGUUAUUUGAGGGUUGGAUGCUCGACUUCAAGCCUCUUCCUACGGAAGUUGUGAAGGCUGUUGAUCUUCAGGUCAGAACUAGAAAUUCAUAUUUAGUUUUCCAUGGGGAGGGAAGCUCACAAGUGAAUCUAUAAAGUUCUUUUCACCAAUUGUCAUUUGGACAAAGUUCAAUUCAAGCCCAGAAAAUUAUGAAAUUCUAUAUUCUGCAUUCAAGGAUUAUUCCAAGGUAUGAUUGGAGUUGGUAAGUAAAUCCAUUAAAGAGACUGAUGAAUCCCAGAUUUCUCGGAAUCUCGAAGCUCAACAUAGAUAUCUGGUGUGGAGAGCAGAAAAGGAUCCUGGACAGAGUGUUUUGAAGAAACUGAUUGGGGAAACACUUGCAAAGGUAGACCAAAUUUGAGGUGCCACAUUGCACAAUAACCACAAUUGCAAUUUGAAGCAUUGGUGUGGUCAGUUUCAGCUUGUUCCUUUGUCUGCUUUGAUCCUUCCUGAUGUUACUAUGCUGUAUUAACAGAAGCCACCUGUAGAUACCUCUGUUACCAUUCUUCCACUAAUGUCUCUUAUAUUGAUGGAAAUCACCUUGCCAUUGAAGUUUAGCGAUCAACCCGAAAUCGCAAAAUAUUAAUUAGUUUCAGCUUGUAUUUGGUCAAUCUAUGACAUCUUUUUGAUAAA